UAUACACAUGAUAUUACUAUAUUGCAGACGGACCAGAACAAGUUGGUUUUACACAGUCAGACAACGCUGUAGCUUUCGAGAAAAGAAACCUGACCUUGACUUGUACUACCACUGCUUAUCCCAACCUGACCUUCACCUGGGACUACAGUGAUGGAACCCCUGUAGGUGGCAGCACGGGGCCUGUGGCAGGAUCUUCGACCCGGUGGUCCCAAACUCUCACCUUCAGGCCAAAUAAAGACAAGACUGCUGUGAGGUGUAAGGUCAGAAACACCAGUACAUCAGCAACUCAGGCUGGUUUUGCGUCUCUGGAAGUCAAGUACCCACCACCUGUCCCUCCUUCCAUCACAAAGUUUCAGACUCUGAUGUUUGAAGGAGACCAAGAGACAAUCAUCUGCUCGGUGACAGGAGGAAAUCCUCUAGCUACUAUCACGUGGUCCUGUCCAGGCACUGGAUCAGCAUCGGUCAGUGACAGUGGUCAGACCAGGACAUCUACCCUCUCCUUCACUGUCAGCAGGAGUCAGAACGGUCAGCAGUGUCAGUGUCUGGGGGCGUGGCAGUAUGGGGGAUACAACCAAUCUGAUGUCAGGACCUUCAGUGUCAGUUGUCCCACAAACCCACAACCACUCAAUGCCGAAUAUAACAUGGCAGGUGUAAUAGCAGGAAGCACAAUAGGAACCCUCCUUCUUACCUUGCUGAUUGGAGGACUAGUUCUGAUUGUCCUCUAUAGGAAGGGGUUCAGGUUUGGGAACGUCUUGAAAGGUAUGUUGUUGAAUUUCAUUUUGGUGCUGCGAUAUCUCAUUUGAAUGUGCCGUCAAAAGAUAUACAUGAAUGAUAUGCGUUAAAGUAAAAGUUACCCAGGAAUCUAAAUCAUCACUGACUCAGAAUGAGCACAUACAAUUUAGGAAUGUAUAUGAAAUUCAUAAUAAUAUAAGAAAUAUGCACUACAGUUUAUGUUCAGUCAUUUACGUUUUACAUUUCAUAUUUUCCAUUUGCAACAUGUUCCACAUGUUCCGUCAUUUGUAAUGUUUGUAUUACAGCAUACUAUAAAAUGAAUCAUCUUUUUUUCAGGAUCUGCUUAACCAAAAAGGAUCAGACAUCCCGAAAUUGAAGAAAUGGAAAACAUUGGUUAUUCAUCCUUGGAUCAGAUCAACAGUCAAACUCAGUACUCAAACAUGGAUAGAGAGGUGUCGGAAAAACAACAUUACACACAGUUGAAGAUUUAUGAAAAUACAAACGUCGAGCUCAAAGCAGAAACAAGUACCUACGAAGACAUGACAGAAGCUCCUCCGGUAUCCUACGAGUCCAUCGGAGCAUCUCCAUACCAAAACAGCGGCGCUCAACCUCAAGAUCCUGACUAUGGAAACAAGUGAACAAGCUCUAGAUGUGAUGACAUAAAUGGAUAAGAAUACACAUUGCGUGAACUGAAAAUUCUGUUUAACUUUCAUAAAGUAUUAUUUAUUUCAACAUAUGACUGUUAUCUUCCAGUAUUUACCGUUGUUAUUUAACAUAUUAUCUGCAUUGCAUUAUAUUAACACAUAACACAAGAUAUUGUUGUAUCCAUAACACUUGCAUGGGCUUUAGUGGCUGACACAACAAACUAUCUGUCACUUAAUUUGCUGCAUUUUCUUUGUCACUUUUUCAUAAGUUUGUUUUCAAUGAGUGGAUACAUAUACAAUAUUUAUUAUAGUAUACUAUAGUAUAAUACAUAUAACAAUAACAAAGUUUGCCAUUAGCUAUAAUUGUCCAAAUAAUGUUAUGGUCUAUAUGUUAAAUCAGUGUUCUGGUAAUGCACGUCAGAAGUGAUAUGGCGGUCUGUAUACAUUUUAUGCAUUCUGUAUCAAUUCUCAUUUUGCCUUACUUUUAAGGACACAAUGGCCUGACUUAACGUUGUAUAUGAUUAAUUAUCGCAUUUUAUUACCAACGUUUUUACUUACUACUGGUUAUAAAGAGGUACGUCGUUCGUUGUCUUGUUUGUUUGGGAUCCAAUUCUCAUAGGAAAUAAAAACUGAUUCACACUAAA